UUAAAAAGUGUCUUAAAGCUAUAAAAUUAGUACCGCAAGGGAACAGUGAAAUAUUAAUGAAAAAUCUCAAGCACACAAAAGCAGAGGUUUAACCUCGUACCUUUUGCAUCAUGGUCUAACUAGUCCAAUCAAGCAAAACGAAUUUUAGUCUGACCCCCCGAAACUAGGUGAGCUACUUAAAAACAGCCUAAGGGCCAACCCGUCUCUGUUGCAAAAGAGUGGGAAGAUUUUUAAGUAGAGGUGACAGACCUAUCGAACCUAGAGAUAGCUGGUUAUUCAGGAAAAGGAUUUUAGUCCUACCUUAGGUUCAUUAUAUCUACAAGUAUAACACUAACCUUAAGAGCUAUUCAAAUAAGGUACAGCCUAUUGAAACAGGAUACAACCUCACCAACAAAGCAGCCACCUUUAAAAAAGCGUUAAAGCUUUAUUACUUUUUUGUAAAAAUUCAUCUAUUAAUUAUUAACCCCUUAAUCUGUACUGAAUGAUCUCAUAACCUUAUGAGAGCCUAUAUGUUAGAACUAGUAACAAGAAGUAGUUCUUCUCCAAAAUGUAAGCCUAAGCCAAAAUGAACCAUUCAUUGGCAAUUAAAGUUAAUAAACUUCUGGUAGUAACUCUAACAAGAAAACCCUACUAAUUACAACGUUAAUCUUACACUAGCACAUUUCUGGAAAGAUUAAAAGAAAAGGAAGGAACUCGGCAAACCACUAACCCCGCCUGUUUACCAAAAACAUCGCCUCUUGAAUCUUAUAAGAGGUCCAGCCUGCCCAGUGACAAACUUAAACGGCCGCGGUACCCUAACCGUGCAAAGGUAGCGCAAUCACUUGUUCUUUAAAUGAGGACUAGUAUGAACGGCACCACGAGGGUUAUGCUGUCUCCCUACUCUAAUCAGUGAAACUGAUCUCCCCGUGAAGAAGCGGGGAUAUAAAUAUAAGACGAGAAGACCCCAUGGAGCUUUAAACUCAGUAUCAACUGCUACACCAAACAACUUUAUAUUUUGCAGUUUCUGAUUACUUGUUUUCGGUUGGGGUGACCACGGAGUAAAAACUAACCUCCAUGAUGAAAGGUAAUAAAAACCUAAACCACGAGCUACAGCUCUAAGUAUCAACAAAUUGACCACUUGAUCCAAUUUCUUGAUCAACGAACCAAGUUACCCUGGGGAUAACAGCGCAAUCCAUUUCAAGAGCUCAUAUCGACAAAUGGGUUUACGACCUCGAUGUUGGAUCAGGGUAUCCCAGUGGCGCAGCCGCUACUAACGG
rnacentral:rRNA from 1 species